rnacentral:tRNA from 1 species
GCAGUCGUGGCUGAGUGGUUAAGGCGAUGGCCUAGAAAUUCAUUGUGGUCUCCCCGCACGCGGUUCGAAACUUGUAGACUGCG